UUUUGCCGUUUAUCGAAACUGACAGCUUCUCAUCUUUUUGUGUAUAGCUGCUGAUUGAGUUCAGAAUAUUGUUCCGUCCAACGCGAACUCGUCGCACAAGCGCAGCAGGGAUUUGAAGAUCUUUUGAUGAUCGUACAGGAAAACGGCACGGAGGCUGGAACUACUCCUCAUUGCAGAUAGCGACGGUGACCUGUGCGUCCUUGCUCUGAAAUUAAUUUCACGGAGAUAAAAUGAGUAGUCUUCGUCACUUAUCAUAGAGGAACAAGAGCUGCCUCUCUGCCCCAUAAUCAAGCUC